GGAGAGAUGCCGGAGCGGUCGAACGGGCCGGUUUCGAAAACCGGUGUAGGGGCAACCCUACCUAGGGUUCAAAUCCCUAUCUCUCCGCCA
rnacentral:tRNA from 1 species